UGAUGAUGGUCAGCGGCAUCCGUUGUUCCGAUUGAUGGUAAUACUUGAAUCCGAAUCCGAAUCCCAAUCCGAAUCGAUGCCGUUACUGCGCAUUUGGGUGAAAGUUGUGCCAAGCUCAAAGCAAAGUCCAGGUCAAGAACUGCAUUUCGCAGGAAAAGGAAACUCUUUUCGAUUCAAAAGUUGGUUAAUUGGCAGCGCAUCGAUUCAGCGAUUCAUCGAGUCAGAACCAAAAGAGGUGACACAUCACAAGACUUCAAAUCGAGAGCGAGCGAUCGCAACGCAAAGAAAGAAACGAAGCGACGGAAGAGAAAUAAAUAAGAACCACCUCAAAAAAGCAAAAAAGAAAAAAAAGAAAUAAUAAAAGCCGAGCCACCAUAACCAAAACAAAGCCAAGCGCAUUAAACCAACACCAAGACAAGUCUUCAGACAAAUGUAAGAAAUAAGCCAUGAAAGUUGUAAAUUCAAUGAAAUGCGAUUUGGGAUUUCGUCGAGUCUCGUAAAGAACAGCCCACGAGAAGAGAUCUGAGAGAAUGACUAAAAAUACAACAAACACUCGAACUCGAACACACUGAGUGAGGAAACAUUAAGACCAAAGAAUUUUAAGUGAAAUGAAUUUGAAAGCUUUUCCCGUCGCGACCUGACCCAAUUACCCAUUUUAAACCCAACCGCGGCCCAAAUUGCCGCACAGCGCAGCUAACGAGCGGCGAACACAUCAAGAAGAGAAGAGAACCUCGAGAUGCGAGAUGUGAAUGUGACGAAGUCACAGUUAUGUGACGAACCGACGAGCCAGACAAUCGAAAGUUUAUGUCAUGCAACAGCAACACCAACAUCAAAACCAACAGCAACAAAGUUAAACGUCGUCGAACAGUGGAACCAAAAUUUGCUAACCCUUAAAAGUUGAGCAAAGAAAAGAAGAGACCACUUUGAAGUUGGAUGUAUGAUAAGUUUUAAAUUGACUCUCACUUUAAUUAAUUUAAAUAUAUCACAAAUUAUUAGGGUGUUCUUUGCUGACUCUUAAAAUGAAGAGACUGCUUUGA